rnacentral:rRNA from 1 species
CAGCCGCCACGGUAAUACGAAGGGGGCUAGCGUUGUUCGGAUUUACUGGGCGUAAAGCGCACGUAGGCGGAUCGAUCAGUCAGGGGUGAAAUCCCAGAGCUCAACUCUGGAACUGCCUUUGAUACUGUCGAUCUGGAGUAUGGAAGAGGUGAGUGGAAUUCCGAGUGUAGAGGUGAAAUUCGUAGAUAUUCGGAGGAACACCAGUGACGAAGGCGGCUCACUGGUCCAUUACUGACGCUGAGGUGCGAAAGCGUGGGGAGCAAACAGGAUUAGAUACCCCAGUAGUCCCUGUCUCUUACAC